CUUUGAAGGGCUCAGAGGGAUCCCCUUCUUAGGGUUGCUGCCUUACCUUAUUUUUAUUUUCAUUUAAUCAGCGCUGACCCUUUUAGUUUUUUAUCUUUAUAUUGUCUGCUGGAUCCUGUGUCCCUCUUCUUCUAGCAAGCUCAUUGGCUGAGAGAGAGCACUCAUGGACACUAUGGUCACCACAACAACCACAGCUUAAUAUAGUGGAUCUGGUGUGUCUAGUCUGUCCAUGCAGGCUUUUUAAUGUAAACACUGCCUGUUAGAGUGCCUAGUAACACCUCUAGUUGCACUCACUGAGAGGGCCACUAGAGGUGCCACAAUGUGCAGCAUGGACAUUCAGCUCCGCAUGGAGGCGUUGAGAGUUCCUCAUAGAGAUGCUGAUUGGUGCAGCAUUUGCUGUGCAUGCGCAAUAGCAUCCCAAUGCUUUCCUUUUGGAAAGCAUUGGAUGAGCUCAGAUGAGCAGGUUUGAUGAUCUCAGCUAAUCUCCUUUUACAAGGAUUAACAAAAUAUACCAGUCUACAUGCAAACUCCAAAUAUGUGAAAUAACACAAAAAAAUACUUUUCAUAGGGGUUAGUGGAACUCUGGCGUAUAUAUAUAUAUUUUUUUAUAUUUGGUUUUUAUGCUGGGUUCCACCCCCAUGGUACUUAGAGAAUUAUUUUAUUUCUAUUUUGAUUUAAUAAAUUAUAUAUAUUUUUUUAACCUAUUCCAAGUCCUCUUUAUCUUCACACACAACAGGAAAUGGC